GCGCGUAAAUUGCCCGAAUCCUGACACAGGGAGGUAGUGACAAGAAAUAACAAUACAGGGCUAUCUUAGUCUUGUAAUUGGAAUGAGUACAAUUUACAUCUCUUCACGAGGAUCAAUUGGAGGGCAAGUCUGGUGCCAGCAGCCGCGGUAAUUCCAGCUCCAAUAGCGUAUAUUAAAGUUGUUGCAGUUAAAACGCUCGUAGUCGGAUUUCGGGGCGGGUCUACCGGUUUGCCGAUGGGUAUAUACUGGUGGGUGCGUCCUUCCUUCCGGAGACCGCGCCUCCUCUUAACUGAGCGGGCGUGGGAGACGGAUCGUUUACUUUGAAAAAAUCAGAGUGUUUCAAGCAGGCAUGUCGCUCUUGCAUGGAUUAGCAUGGGAUAAUGAAAUAGGACUUUGGUGCUAUUUUGCUGGUUUCGAACACCGAAGUAAUGAUUAACAGGGACGGUCAGGGGCACUCGUAUUCC
rnacentral:rRNA from 1 species